rnacentral:rRNA from 1 species
GAUGAACGCUGGCGGCGUGCCUAAUACAUGCAAGUCGAGCGAACGGACGAGAAGCUUGCUUUUCUGAUGUUAGCGGCGGACGGGUGAGUAACACGUGGAUAACCUACCUAUAAGACUGGGAUAACUUCGGGAAACCGGAGCUAAUACCGGAUAAUAUUUUGAACCGCAUGGUUCAAAAGUGAAAGACGGUCUUGCUGUCACUUAUAGAUGGAUCCGCGCUGCAUUAGCUAGUUGGUAAGGUAACGGCUUACCAAGGCAACGAUGCAUAGCCGACCUGAGAGGGGGAUCGGCCACACGGGAACUGGGCCACGGUCCAGACUCCUACGGGAGGCAGCAGUAGGGAAUCUGCCGCAAUGGGCGAAAGCCUGACGGAGCAACGCCGCGUGAGUGAUGAAGGUCUUCGGAUCGUAAAACUCUGUUAUUAGGGAAGAACAUAUGUGUAAGUAACUGUGCACAUCUUGACGGUACCUAAUCAGAAAGCCACGGCUAACUACGUG